ACGUGAUCUGAGUUCAGACCGGAGCAAUCCAGGUCAGUUUCUAUCUAUAAAGAGCUUCUUCUAGUACGAAAGGACCGAAAAAGCAUGGCCUAUACUCCAAGCAAGCCAUCAUAAAUAACUUAUGUUUCUAAACUUAAUACCCAAUUUACCUCCAACCAACCUCAUGACAAGAGA
rnacentral:rRNA from 1 species